rnacentral:rRNA from 1 species
AUUGAACGCUGGCGGCAGGCUUAACACAUGCAAGUCGAACGAGUGGCGGACGGGUGAGUAAUGUAUGGGAAACUGCCUGAUGGAGGGGGAUAACUACUGGAAACGGUAGCUAAUACCGCAUACCAUCAGAUGGGCCCAGAUGGGAUUAGCUAGUUGGUGGGGUAACGGCUCACCAAGGCGACGAUCCCUAGCUGGUCUGAGAGGAUGACCAGCCACACUGGGACUGAGACACGGCCCAGACUCCUACGGGAGGCAGCAGUGGGGAAUAUUGGACAAUGGGCGCAAGCCUGAUGCAGCCAUGCCGCGUGUAUGAAGAAGGCCUUCGGGUUGUAAAGUACUUUCGGCAGGGAGGCGUUACCUGCAGAAGAAGCACCGGCUAACUCCGUGCCAGCAGCCGCGGUAAUGC